rnacentral:tRNA from 2 species
GUCCCCAUCGUCUAGAGGCCUAGGACACUACCCUUUCACGGUAGGUACGGGGGUUCGAAUCCCCCUGGGGACGCCA